rnacentral:tRNA from 1 species
GUCCCUGUGGCUCAACCGGGGAGCACGUUUGGCUGUUAACUGAAAGGUUGGUGGUUCAAGCCCACCCAGGGAUG